rnacentral:lncRNA from 1 species
ACAAAACAUAUGUACAAUAGUUUAGAUUGUGGGAAUAAAUGUACAGGCUGUGGAUGAAAAAAUAUUUGUUGAGUAAACUUUGAUAAAAAAUAGAGAAAGCAAAUAAAUGCAUGAUACAUCUGAUUAUUUUUUCCAAAUGUAAUGAAAAAGAAAGGAAAAAAAAUCAAAAAAACAACACAUUGUUGUACGAUUUUACAUAGCGCGAAG